rnacentral:rRNA from 1 species
AACGUAGGUGGCAAGCGUUAUCCGGAUUUACUGGGCGUAAGCGUGUGCAGGCGGUGUGAUAAGUGGUGUAUGAAAUCGCCGCGCUUAACGUGGCGGGGUUAUGCCAGACUGUCACACUUGAACCCAUCAGAGGGACGUGGAAUUCCGGGUGUAGUGGUGAAAUGCGUAGAUAUUGGGAAGAACACCAGUGGCGAAGGCGGCUCUCUGGCCCGGACCUGACGCUGAGGCGCGAAAGCGUGGGGAGCGAACGGG